GUUCUCUUCGGCAGCACAUACACUAAAAUUGGAAAGAUACAGAGAAGAUUAACGUGAACCCCGUGCAAGGAUGACAUGCAAAUUCGUGAAUCAUUCCAUAUUUUU